rnacentral:rRNA from 1 species
GAUGAACGCUAGCUACAGGCUUAACACAUGCAAGUCGAGGGACCGGCGCACGGGUGAGUAACACGUAUCCAACCUGCCCUUUACUCGGGGAUAGCCUUUCGAAAGAAAGAUUAAUACCCGAUAUAAAGGAUGGGGAUGCGUUCCAUUAGGUUGUUGGUGAGGUAACGGCUCACCAAGCCGUCGAUGGAUAGGGGUUCUGAGAGGAAUGUCCCCAACGUUGUAACUGGGACACGGCCCAGACGCCUACGGGAGGCAGCAGUGAGGAAUAUGGGUCAAUGGGCGCUAGCCUGACCCAGCCAAGUAGCGUGAAGGAUGAAGGUUGAUGGGUCUUAAACUUCUUUUAUAUAAGAAUAUGUAUUAUAUGAAUAAGGAUCGGCUAACUCCGUGCCAGCAGCCGCGGUAAUAC